rnacentral:rRNA from 1 species
UACGUACUGUGCGAACGUUAUUCGGAAUCACUGGGCUUAAAGGGUGUGUAGGCGGCCAGCUAAGUAGGGUGUGAAAGGCCUCGGCCUAACCGAGGCAUUGCGCUCUAAACUGACUGGCUUGAGUGAGAUAGGGGUGUGCGGAACUUCCAGUGGAGCGGUGAAAUGUGUUGAUAUUGGAAGGAACGCCGGUGGCGAAAGCGGCACACUGGGUCUUGUCUGACGCUGAGACACGAAAGCCAGGGGAGCGAACGGG